UACGGAGGUUGCGAGCGUUAAUCGGAAUUACUGGGCGUAAAGCGUGCGCAGGCGGUUAUGUAAGACAGAGGUGAAAUCCCCGGGCUUAACUUGGGAACUGCCUUUGUGACUGCAUGGCUAGAGUACGGCAGAGGGGGAUGGAAUUCCGCGUGUAGCAGUGAAAUGCGUAGAUAUGCGGAGGAACACCGAUGGCGAAGGCAAUCCCCUGGGCAUGUACUGACGCUCAGGCACGAAAGCGUGGGGAGCAAACAGG
rnacentral:rRNA from 1 species